rnacentral:rRNA from 1 species
AUUGAACGCUGGCGGCAUGCUUUACACAUGCAAGUCGAACGGUAACAGGCCGCAAGGUGCUGACGAGUGGCGAACGGGUGAGUAAUGCAUCGGAACGUGCCCAGUCGUGGGGGAUAACGCAGCGAAAGCUGUGCUAAUACCGCAUACGAUCUAUGGAUGAAAGCGGGGGACCGUAAGGCCUCGCGCGAUUGGAGCGGCCGAUGUCAGAUUAGGUAGUUGGUGGGGUAAAGGCCCACCAAGCCAACGAUCUGUAGCUGGUCUGAGAGGACGACCAGCAACACGGGGACUGAGACACGGCCCAGACUCCUACGGGAGGCAGCAGUGGGGAAUUUUGGACAAUGGGCGCAAGCCUGAUCCAGCAAUGCGGCGUGCAGGAAGAAGGCCUUCGGGUUGUAAACUGCUUUUGUACGGAACGAAACGGUCUGGGUUAAUACCCUGGGCUAAUGACGGUACCGUAAGAAUAAGCACCGGCUAACUACGUGCCAGCAGCCGCCGUAAUAC